rnacentral:pre_miRNA from 1 species
AAUAAGAUUAUUUUUCAAUUUUUUGAUACAAUGUUUUAACUCUUCGUCUUAUUUGAAAUUUUUUUGCGAUUAAUAUUUUUUUUCUUACUAGAUGAUAAAAUAUGAGUAGUACUUUAUGCGUGACUAAUUUUUUUUUAAGUUUCUAUAUAAAAUUUUCAAAUAAGACGAAUGAUCAAACGUUGGGCAUGGAAAAAC